UGGGGAAUAUUGCGCAAUGGGGGAAACCCUGACGCAGCAACGCCGCGUGUGUGAAGAAGGCCUUCGGGUCGUAAAGCACUGUUGGGAGGAACGAGCCGCUCAAGUAACCCUUGAGCCCGACGGUACCUCCUGAGGAAGCACCGGCUAACUCCGUGCCAGCAGCCGCGGUAAUACGGAGGGUGCAAGCGUUGUUCGGAAUUAUUGGGCGUAAAGCGCGCGCAGGCGGCCCGUUAAGUCUGAUGUGAAAACCCUCGGCUCAACCGAGGACGUGCAUUGGAUACUGGGGGGCUUGAGUCUCGGAGAGGAAAGCGGAAUUCCCAGUGUAGAGGUGAAAUUCGUAGAUAUUGGGAGGAACACCGGUGGCGAAGGCGGCUUUCUGGACGAUGACUGACGCUGAGGCGCGAAAGCGUGGGUAGCAAACAGG
rnacentral:rRNA from 1 species